AACGAACGCUGGCGGCAGGCUUAACACAUGCAAGUCGAGCGCCCCGCACGGGGAGCGGCAGACGGGUGAGUAACGCGUGGGAACGUACCUUUUGGUUCGGAACAACUCCGGGAAACUGGAGCUAAUACCGGAUAAGCCCUAACGGGGAAAGAUUUAUCGCCGAAAGAUCGGCCCGCGUCUGAUUAGCUAGUUGGUGAGGUAACGGCUCACCAAGGCGACGAUCAGUAGCUGGUCUGAGAGGAUGAUCAGCCACACUGGGACUGAGACACGGCCCAGACUCCUACGGGAGGCAGCAGUGGGGAAUAUUGGACAAUGGGCGCAAGCCUGAUCCAGCCAUGCCGCGUGAGUGAUGAAGGCCUUAGGGUUGUAAAGCUCUUUUGUCCGGGAAGAUAAUGACUGUACCGGAAGAAUAAGCCCCGGCUAACUUCGUG
rnacentral:rRNA from 1 species